GCUGGGCAAGAUGGCUCAUGCCUGUAAUCCCAGCAAUUUGGGAGGCUGAGAUGGGAGGAUCACUUGAGCCCAGGAGUUCCAGACCAGCCUGGGCAACAAAGUGAAACCUUGUCUCUA
rfam:Homo sapiens chromosome 11, GRCh38 reference primary assembly.